ACCAGGAUGGCUUCGAACUCACAGAGAUUCACUUGCUUCUGCCUGCUGAGCGCUGGGGAUGGAAGGUGUGCGCCACCACGGCCUGUGCCUGUUUAUGGUUGGUAUAUCUGGCAGUAUGGCCACUUGCUUCAUGGAGCAUUCCUUUGAAAGUGAGCUCUCUUUCUUUCACUGCCUGGCCCCUGUCUAAUGGAGUAAAACCUCCAUGAACUUCUACACUUAGAAUUCAGUUGGACAAAUAUAAAAUUUUGACUUUGUUUUCACACGAUACACACAAACAGUGGAGGAUCAAACUUCUUAAGAAAGGCAGUUCCAGUGUUUUGAUAUUUCUGGGGAUGUUGGACCAGGUGAGAAAGACGCAGGAGAUGUUACUCAGCGCCGUGGGAAAGGAGAACACAGCAGGAGGAGGAGGAUCAUGUCAGUCCAGCACUGAGAGUUGUCUGCAGAAAAUGGAGAUUAGUGCAUUCAGACAGGAAAAUUGUUUUCCAGAAAACACUGGAAAUCGUGUGAUAGUAAUAACAUCUAACAGUCAUCAAGCAUUCGUUAUGUGCCAAGCAGCGUACUGGGCUUUUCACUCACGUUAUCUCAUUCAAUCCCCACAAAUCCUUAUAAUUAGUCACUGUUAUGAUCCCCAGCUUUACAGAUGAAAACUGACACCCACAAGACUAAGGGAGGGGACCAGGAGGUGAUGAAAUGCAGAUCCCAGCUCAGAUAGUUCUACCUGACACCAGGGUCCAAGUGUGCUGUUUGUCGCCGUUGGCAGGGCAACCAUAGGCAGCCCAUGAUAUCACUCAGGGUGUUUUACCGUCAUCCCAGAAGUGAGGUGAGUUCUGCACGGUUGACAUUUAGUUUUCAUUGACCGUGGAGAGGGGGCAGUGUGCAAACAGAGCACGCUUUCUCACCACCACGUAGUCUCUGCCCCACGUCCCUCAUGCUUCUGAAUUCUGUUGUAAAGCUAAGCUAUCUUCCUGGGUUGUCCCUGAGCCUUUCCCAUGUGACUACGUGGGAAAUCAUUGCCUACAGCUGAGUGGUUGACCAGCUGUCUCUUUCUGCCAUUAUUCAUGUCAGAUGUGGGGAUGUCUCCCUCAUGAACAUUGGUGGUGUUUGAAUGGUCCCUGUCUGCUUGUCCUGUGAAAAGACCUGUUUUUAUUUCUUCGAACUGGCGAAAGAGAGAUAUGAUCUAUCACCUCAGUUCUAACGGUUCAUGUGAGCAAUGGUGGAAGAAGUGUCCCCGAGUCUUCCAGAGUAGCUGACCACUUGGGAAGCAGUUCUUUGGAGACACUCGAGGGUGUGCACGAGCUAUGGAGUCAGCUGGGGACCUACAAGAUAGGUUCAUUUUUCUCCACCUCAUCCCUUUGCUAACUGCGACCUGUGUGCCUCCUCCAAUCUCUCAGUAAUCUCGUGUAUUUAUUUGCCCCCUGGUAGGCUCCUUCCCUGAACAUGGUGCACCAAACUGUGGAGUGGAUCAGGGACUAAUCUACCGUGCUUCCCUCCCUCCCCAGGCCUGCUGUCUGCUGAGGGACAGAGAAGUCCCAAUGUGCCAGCACCACAGCUGUGACCAGUAUCAGGGUGGCACACACACAGGCCGGCAGAAGGAUCCAGAUCCCCGGAGCUGGAGUGACAGGAAGCUGUGAACUGGAAGAUGUGGGUGUUGGAAACUGAACUCAGGUCCUCUAAGAGAACCAUAGGUGUUCUUAACUAUGGAGCGUUCUCUCUGGCCUCUUCACCUAGUUUUUUGAGACAGGACCUCUCGCUGGAGCUCACUGAAGAGACUAGGCUAGAUGGCUGCCAAGUCCAAGGAAUCUGCCCAUCUUUGUUCUCCAGUGCUGGGAUUUAAGCAUGGGCGACAACAUCUGGCUUUUUUUCUUUUUUCUUUUCUUUUCUUUUUUUUUUUUUUUGUGGGUUAGGGAUUCAUCUUGGGCCCUCAUGUUUUUCUAGAAAGUAAUUUAGACUGAGCCACUUCCUCAACCAUAUUGUAAUAUAUUUUUGAGUUAAUGUAUAUUAGCUGUAUAAACUAAUAGGUUUAUUAUGACAUUUCCACACAUCUGUCGUCUGCUGUGGUCAUAUUCUCUUCUUUUCGAACGUUUCCCUUCUACUUUCAUGUCCUUUUAAAUGUAGAUUCUGACAAUGAGAGAAAAUUGUCUUUUUGAGUAAGGCUUGUUUCCUUUAACACAGUGAUCGCUAUUUCCAUCCAUUUUCUUGUAGUGACAUAUUUCUUCUUUAGAGCUAACUAAAAUUUCAGUGCGCGCAUGAGCGUGCAUGUGUGUGUGGUGUAUCACAUCUUCUUUAUCCAUUCAUCUCUUGUUGGUUUGUUAGACUGGUUUCAUGUCUUGUCUAUUGCGAAUAGUACAGCAAUAAACAAAGAUGUUCUGUG